rnacentral:rRNA from 1 species
UGAGGAAUAUUGGUCAAUGGGCUUACGCCUGAACCAGCCAAGUCGCGUGAGGGAAGACUGCCCUAUGGGUUGUAAACCUCUUUUGUCAGGGAGCAACAACGGUUACGUGUAACCGUUAUGAGAGUACCUGAAGAAAAAGCAUCGGCUAACUCCGUGCCAGCAGCCGCGGUAAUACGGAGGAUGCGAGCGUUAUCCGGAUUUAUUGGGUUUAAAGGGUGCGUAGGCGGGAUGCCAAGUCAGCGGUCAAAUCGCGAGGCUCAACCUCGCUCCGCCGUUGAAACUGGUGUUCUUGAGUGGGCGAGAAGUAUGCGGAAUGCGUGGUGUAGCGGUGAAAUGCAUAGAUAUCACGCAGAACUCCGAUUGCGAAGGCAGCAUACCGGCGCCCAACUGACGCUGAAGCACGAAAGCGUGGGUAUCGAACAGG